GGGGCCUUUUAUAGCUAUGUGGUAUGCUCUUUGUUGAAGGUACAUGUAAGCUAUAGUUGUUAAUUUUUGUGUCAUUUGGUCUCUUGUGAAGAAGUGUGUCAAGGCAAUUACACCACAUCUUCUAUAUAUUGAAAACUGAAAGGACUGCGUGAUUAAAUUACAUCUUGUCAUUGAUACCGUUUCACAGUGCUUUCAGUUUUGAAAAUUAUCCUCGCAAUCUGCAAUCAUAAAAUUUUACAAGAUGGUCGUUUUUUUUAAUUUGUAUAAAUUUCAAGAUUUUCU
rnacentral:lncRNA from 1 species